rnacentral:rRNA from 1 species
GCCGCGGUAAUACGGAGGGUGCGAGCGUUAUCCGGAGUUAUUAGGUUUAAAGGGUGCGUAGGCGGUUAAUCAAGUCAGGCGGUGAAAGUCAUUGGCUUAACCAAUGAAUUGCCGGUGAAACUGGUUAACUUGAGUUAAGUUGAGGCAGGCGGAAUGCGUAGUGUAGCGGUGAAAUGCAUAGAUAUUACGCAGACCCCCGAUUGCGAAGGCAGCUUGCUGGACUUUAACUGACGCUGAUGCACGAAAGCCUGGGGAGCGAACAGGAUUAGAUACCCUGGUAGUCCAGGCAGUAAACGAUGAUCACUGGUUAUUGGCGAUAUAGUGUCAGUGACUGAGCGAAAGCAUUAAGUGAUCCCCCUGGGGAGUACGUUGGCAACGAUGAAACUCAAAGGAAUUGACGGGGGCCCGCACAAGCGGAGGAACAUGUGGUUUAAUUCGAUGAUACGCGAGGAACCUUACCUGGGCUUGAACUGUAGGUGAUGUA